rnacentral:tRNA from 4 species
CGGGAUAUAGCGUAGCUUGGUAGCGUGCCAUCUUGGGGUGAUGGAGGUCGCAGGUUCAAAUCCUGCUAUUCCGA